AAGAAGGGAGGGGAUUACAUUAAUAGACAUUUUGCUCCCAUAAUUAACAAGCAAAUACAAAACCUAAAAUCUCUCUUAAUUCAACAUUGUCCUGCAAAUCUCUGACUAUAUACACCCUUAGGAAGACAUAAGCCCUUGUUGACUAGUUGAGUCAUGGAACCAGAGAAUGUUUGAGAUAAUUUGGCUCAAGAUAGAAUGACUUAUUUUAAAGAUCACAAACAAAGGCCAAGUUCUGGAAGUGACUUUGAAAAAAAGUCACUGAUAUCUUUUGUUUUUACAUCACCUGAAUUUUCCUCUAUGUCCCUCUUGCCCUCUCCUUCCAGAGAACCAUCUCUUAAAACAAAACAAAACAAAAAAUUAAAGUAAAAAGAUGAAGGGAAAAAAGGAAGAGGAAAAACAACAACAACAACAACAAUAAUAUGUAUUUUUAAAUGACCUUACACGCAACAUUCCAUACCCGUGGACUGCACUAUCUCUGCAAAGGAGUGAGGAGUUAGCCAUGGAGCAGUUGGCUGACAAGCUGCCCUGGGUCUCUGGGCAGAGCCACAGAAGGAUGAGGAGAUGUUUCCCCAGGGCACCAGCAGGUAUGGAAUCAGUAAGAGCCUUUCAGGACUCCAGCAGUGCAGGGACAGCUGAGCUCACCACCCAGCGUGAAGAAUGAUCACUGAAAGGAAGAAGCUUCUAAAUCGUGGCUUUCUCCUCAUCUCUGCUCUGGACUCACCAUGAUCAAAGCUAAGUUCACUAUAUGUCCUGAUGCUCUUCUGAAUCUUCCCGUUUCUGUCAAGGAUGCCACCACUUUUCCUAGGCACCUGGGAGACAAAAGCAAACAAAGAGAAACUUCAGCAGGUGGAUGACCUCAUGCUGGCUAUUUCCUCUUAGCUGAUGCCCACCCAUGUGCAGGGUCGUCCUUAUCCAUGCCAACACCAAACAGCUUGGGAUGCUUCACGUGUGGCCAUCAAUCCCACAGACUGAUUGUACCCUUCCAGUGUAAAUCUCUCUGGGAACCCCAGCAUUGAGUUACGUUGGCCAAGAAACCUCCUCUGUGGUCUGGAUUUUGCUCCACUUCCAAAAUUGAAUUGCAUUCCCCUAAAAUGAUUCCACUUUUGCUAUUUCCUGAUGUCUCAUAAGCUUUACUUUCACCUUCUCUCAUGCAACAAGAAGCUCCUGGGUUGUCUCUGCAGAUUUCAUUAGCUUUCCUCCCUUACUUGGUCUUCUAGGCCUAGAAGAAAGAUGUUCAGCCCCACAUGGAAGCUGCCUCCCCCUUUGUCAUGGCAUGCAUCUUGUUGGCUGCUCUCCAUCUGGCCUCCAGUGCAGGGGACACUCCUCUCCCAGCCAAGUGAAAUUCAUUUCCUUAAGAAAAUGGCACAGUGACUGUUUUCAAAUGUCUCACUGCUACAAGGACACUUUUAGUAGGCCCUGUGUCCUUAGCUUUGGUCAUUCCAACCAGCUCAAUCCAGUUCAGAUCAACAAGUAUUUAUUAAAUGACAACUACAUACCAUGCAAUUCAUUAUGGCAUAUGGUUGCAAAAACAAAAUGGAUAAAAAAAAAAGUCCCUGUCCUCAAGAUAUUUGCAUUCUUUUGACGACCAGAUUUGACUCUGCCCUACUUGUCCAUCUCUACUGCCUGUUGCUUGCAACUAUACAUUUUUCUUCAAGCAAAGAGUGACUUGCUAAAAUAUAAAGUUGAUGCCUCCAGGCCUGGGUUCAAAUCCAGUCUCUGAUACUUCCUAGUCAUGUGACCAUGGACAGCUUUAAAUCUCAGUUUCCUCAUUUGUAAAACUGAAAUAAUAAUACUUGUACCAUCUACCUCAAAGAGUGGUGGAGAAAUCACUUUGUAAGUCUUAAGAGCUAAUAGAAUUGCAAGUUAUUAUUUAUAGUAGUAGUGGUGGUUACAUCAGCAUCAUCACUGAUUCAGCUCUUUAGCUUAACUGCCAUUUCUGAACUUCAUUUUUCAUAGCUCUUCAGAUAAAAAACCCACCUAUUUAAGCUAUGUUAUUCCCAAUCCGGGAGGUAAACUGGCACAAACUGGACUCUUAUGCAACAUCCCAGACACUCAGUCUCCCACUCUUAAGAUAAUUUGGUUAUCCUCACUGCCUUCUGCCCACUGGAGAUCUUCCCUAUAGCACUCACCCCUUCAAAACAUACCUUUUACACCAACUAUGAUCUUCUUCUGUGGUUCUUCACUGCACUCACCCCAUGUACCUUAGUCUCUGUGGUUAAUGACUACCUGGUCAAAUGAGAAUUUUCCCACGAUAGCUUGAAACACACCCUGUCUGCAAUCAAAAUGGCAUAGCGAGAGAAAGCUAGCCACUGUUGCAACCCAAGGACCAUUUGUGCAUUGGACGUAAGAGCUAGCUGUCCUUCCCACAUCAGUGCUACUUUAAUGAGGCAAAGAAAGGAUGUGGCUAGUCUGACAGUGUCAUAAAAAGAAUUCUGCUUUGGCCAGAAAAUCUGCAUGAGACAAGCAAUCACCUUCUGAGGACUACUUUACCAUUGAUGAGAAAGCCACAUCCUCCCCCUGCUAAGUAUUGCCAUAUCAUUCCUCCUAUGACACAUCCUCAGAAAUCAAGGUUAUCUUAUGGAAAGACUAUUAAUUCUAAGACUUACAAUGAAUUCUUCACUAAAUGUGCCCGUCUUUGCCACAAAUUCUUUUUUCUUUUUUUUUUCUUUCUGUCCCUCCUGUGUAGACCAUUAUGGCAAAUUCCUUUUUCUGCCUCCUGCUUCCCUUUUCUAUUGGUUACAACCAUCCCUCACCCCCAUACCCAUUGGAGAGUUCCUCCUAGAUCUUGAAUUUGAGGAGAAGGCCAAGUAUAUAAAUUUCAUCUUUUCCCACCUGGCUGAUCUCCAGACUUCACCAAUGUCUCUAAUAAUUCAUCUUCUUGUAAAGAUUGCACCAGCUCUGAAACACACCUCCCCAGUGUCCCUUGACCCAAGGGCCCUUCUCUCCCUCUGAAUGGAAAGAGUGGAUGGUGGACUUUGGAGAGCUCCUCCCAGGUUCUCUAUUUCAAGAGUCCUUAGCAGUUCUCAUUCAUUUGCAGGUCUUUACUCUUUUUCUCCACCACCACCACCCCUUUUUGGUUUCUUUUUAUGUGUUGUCUACCCCAUUACAGAGUGAGCUCCUUGAGGGC